AUUGAACGCUGGCGGCAGGCUUAACACAUGCAAGUCGAGCGGGGUGAUGGUGCUUGCACUAUCACUUAGCGGCGGACGGGUGAGUAAUGCCUAGGAAUCUGCCUAUUAGUGGGGGACAACAUCUCGAAAGGGAUGCUAAUACCGCAUACGUCCUACGGGAGAAAGCAGGGGAUCACUUGUGACCUUGCGCUAAUAGAUGAGCCUAAGUCGGAUUAGCUAGUUGGUGGGGUAAAGGCCUACCAAGGCGACGAUCUGUAGCGGGUCUGAGAGGAUGAUCCGCCACACUGGGACUGAGACACGGCCCAGACUCCUACGGGAGGCAGCAGUGGGGAAUAUUGGACAAUGGGGGAACCCUGAUCCAGCCAUGCCGCGUGUGUGAAGAAGGCCUUAUGGUUGUAAAGCACUUUAAGCGAGGAGGAGGCUCUUUUGGUUAAUACCCAAGAUGAGUGGACGUUACUCGCAGAAUAAGCACCGGCUAACUCUGUGCCAGCCGCCGCUGUAA
rnacentral:rRNA from 1 species